CGAGAGAAGGAUAAUACCGCCGGCCAGCAAUGGCGGGAGGAAAGUCCGGACACCGUAUGGCAACGUAGCGGGUAACGCCCGUCCGUCGUGAGGCGAGGACAAGUGCAACAGAAAGAAAGUACGGGCAUUGAUCUAUCAAACGGAAACAGGAGUCUGGUAGGGAGUCGCAGUAGUGAAAUCAGGUAAACUCUACGUGGUGCAAGCUCAAAUAGAUUUGCUCGGGAGUCAAAUCCCAAGAAGGGCCACUUCUUUGGCAAACGGGUAGAGCGCUUGAAUCCCCGGGUAACUUGGGAUCUAGAUGAAUGGUAUUUUUAAACAGGAUCCGGCUUACCCCUUCUCUCGAUUU
rnacentral:RNase_P_RNA from 4 species